UGGGGAAUUUUGGACAAUGGGCGCAAGCCUGAUCCAGCCAUGCCGCGUGCAGGAUGAAGGCCCUCGGGUUGUAAACUGCUUUUGUACGGAACGAAAAGGCUCUGGCUAAUACCUGGGGCUCAUGACGGUACCGUAAGAAUAAGCACCGGCUAACUACGUGCCAGCAGCCGCGGUAAUACGUAGGGUGCAAGCGUUAAUCGGAAUUACUGGGCGUAAAGCGUGCGCAGGCGGUUAUGUAAGACAGAGGUGAAAUCCCCGGGCUCAACCUGGGAACUGCCUUUGUGACUGCAUAGCUGGAGUACGGCAGAGGGGGAUGGAAUUCCGCGUGUAGCAGUGAAAUGCGUAGAUAUGCGGAGGAACACCGAUGGCGAAGGCAAUCCCCUGGGCCUGUACUGACGCUCAUGCACGAAAGCGUGGGGAGCAAACA
rnacentral:rRNA from 1 species